AUUGAACGCUGGCGGCAGGCCUAACACAUGCAAGUCGAGCGGAUGAAGGGAGCUUGCUCCUGGAUUCAGCGGCGGACGGGUGAGUAAUGCCUAGGAAUCUGCCUGGUAGUGGGGGAUAACGUCCGGAAACGGGCGCUAAUACCGCAUACGUCCUGAGGGAGAAAGUGGGGGAUCUUCGGACCUCACGCUAUCAGAUGAGCCUAGGUCGGAUUAGCUAGUUGGUGGGGUAAAGGCCUACCAAGGCGACGAUCCGUAACUGGUCUGAGAGGAUGAUCAGUCACACUGGAACUGAGACACGGUCCAGACUCCUACGGGAGGCAGCAGUGGGGAAUUUUGGACCAUGGGCGAAAGCCUGAUCCAGCCAUGGCGCGUGUGUGAAGAAGGUCUUCGGAAUUGAAAGCACUUUAAGUUGGGAGGAAGGGCAGUAAGUUAAUACCUUGCUGUUUUGACGUUACCAACAGAAUAAGCACCGGCUAACUUCGUG
rnacentral:rRNA from 1 species